GACGAACGCUGGCGGCAUGCCUAAUACAUGCAAGUCGAGCGAACAGAUGAAGUGCUUGCACUUCUGACGUUAGCGGCGAACGGGUGAGUAACACGUAAGGAAUCUACCUAUAAGCGGGGGAUAACAUUUGGAAACGGGUGCUAAUACCGCAUAAUAUCUUCUUCCGCAUGGAAGAAGAUUGAAAGACGGCUCUGCGGUCACUUAUAGAUGACCGCGCGGUGCAUUAGUUAGUUGGUGGGGUAACGGCCUACCAAGACGAUGAUGCAUAGCCGACCUGAGAGGGUGAUCGGCCACAUUGGGACUGAGACACGGCCCAAACUCCUACGGGAGGCAGCAGUAGGGAAUCUUCCGCAAUGGGCGAAAGCCUGACGGAGCAAUGCCGCGUGAGUGAAGGAGGCCUUCGGGUCGUAAAACUCUGUUAUAAGAGAAGAACAAAUUGUAGAGUAACUGCUACAGUCUUGACGGUAUCUUAUCAGAAAGCCACGGCUAACUACGUGCCAGCCGCCGCGGUAA
rnacentral:rRNA from 1 species